UACAGAGGUCCCAAGCGUUGUUCGGAUUCACUGGGCGUAAAGGGUGCGUAGGUGGUGAGGUAAGUCGGAUGUGAAAGCUCGGAGCUCAACUCCGAAAUGGCAUUGGAAACUACCUUGCUCGAGGGUUGGAGGGGGGACUGGAAUACUUGGUGUAGCAGUGAAAUGCGUAGAUAUCAAGUGGAACACCAGUGGCGAAGGCGAGUCCCUGGACAACUCCUGACACUGAGGCACGAAAGCGUGGGGAGCGAACAGG
rnacentral:rRNA from 1 species